UCUUUGGGAGUAUCUGAGUGGGCUGACUUGGAUCUGACACACAUUUUAGCAGGAUGUUCUGGUACCUGGGCAGAAGGUGCCUGCAGGUCGGGGAGAGGCUGGCAGAAAAAGAAACAAGGAGCCAGGAGAGGACGCUAAUCCGACUCGACCGGGAAAGGACAGAAGACUGAGGCAGGCGCCACGGGAUGGGGCAUGGAGGAGGCGAGGGGUGGCCUGGAGGAAGCAUUUCCACGAAGCCACAGCCCCCCUCUGGGGGAUGGGCGCAGCCAAGCCAGAUGGACGAGAAGUUCAAGAAAGCAGAGGAGAUGGCCCUAAGUCUCGCCCGGGCAGUGGCUGGUGGGGAUGAACAGGCUGCUAUGAAGUGUGCCAUCUGGCUGGCAGAGCAACGGGUGCCCGUGAGUGUGAAACUGAAGCCCGAGGUCUCCCUGACACAGGACAUCAGGCUGUGUGUGAGCGUGGAGGAUGCCCAGAUGCACACCGUCACCAUCUGGCUCACCGUGCGCCCUGAUAUGACCGUGGCCUCCCUCAAGGACAUGGUAUUCCUUGACUAUGGCUUCCCACCCACACUGCAGCAGUGGGUAAUUGGGCAGCGGUUGGCACGGGACCAAGAGACUCUACACUCCCAUGGCGUGCGGCGGAAUGGGGACAGUGCCUACCUCUACCUGCUGUCAGCCUGCAACACCUCGCUUAACCCUCGGGAGCUGCAGCGGGAGCGGCAGCUGCGGAUGCUGGAAGAUCUGGGAUUCAAGGAUCUCACGCUGCAGCCAAGGGGUCCCCUGGAGCCAGACCCUUCCAAGUCCGGGGCCCCCCAGGAGCCUGGCCAGCAGCCAGAUGCAGUGCCCGAGCCCCCACCGGUGGGCUGGCAGUGCCCUGGCUGCACCUUCAUCAACAAGCCCACGCGACCUGGCUGCGAGAUGUGCUGCCAGGCGCGGCCAGAGACCUACCAGGUUCCCACCUCUUACCAGCCAGACGCGGAGGAGCGAGCGCGCCUGGCCAGCGAGGAAGAGGCGCUGCGCCAGUACCAGCAGCGGAAGCAGCAGCAGCAGGAGGGGAACUACCUGCAGCACGUGCAGCUGGAGCAGCGAAGCCUGGUGCUGAACACGGAGCCCGCCGAGUGCCCCGUGUGCUACUCGGUGCUGGCGCCCGGCGAGGCGGUGGUGCUGCGCGAGUGCCUGCACACCUUCUGCAGGGAGUGCCUGCAGGGCACCAUCCGCAACUGCCAGGAGGCCGAGGUCUCCUGCCCCUUCAUCGACAACACCUACUCCUGCCCGGGCAAGCUGCUGGAGAGGGAGAUCCGGGCGCUCCUGAGCCCCGAGGAUUACCAGCGGUUUCUGGACCUGAGCGUCUCCAUUGCCGAGAACCGCAGCGCCUUCAGCUACCACUGCAAGACCCCAGACUGCAAGGGCUGGUGCUUCUUUGAGGAUGAUGUAAAUGAGUUCACCUGCCCCGUGUGUUUCCACGUCAACUGCCUGCUCUGCAAGGCCAUCCACGAGCGCAUGAACUGCAGGGAGUAUCAGGACGACUUGGCCUUGCGCGCUCAGAAUGACGUGGCAGCCCGGCAGACCACAGAGAUGCUGAGGGUGCUGCUGCAGCAGGGCGAGGCCAUGCACUGCCCGCAGUGCCAUAUUGUAGUGCAGAAGAAGGAUGGGUGCGACUGGAUCCGCUGCACCGUCUGCCACACCGAGAUCUGCUGGGUCACCAAGGGCCCGCGGUGGGGCCCUGGGCGCUGCCCACCCGGAUGUGCCGUACUGUCCGAGCCUUUCCCGCCCUGGGUCUGCGGCAGACGGACCCGACUCUUGUAAUAGGGGAGCUGCAUGACCGCCUCUACCAGGGGGCCUAGCCAGGAGGGCCGCUCAGGAGGACCUGCGGGGACAAGGGCCCGAGUGGCAGGGCCCCGGAGACACCAGCGGGGGCUGCCGCUGCCGUGUGAACGGGAUUCCUUGCCACCCAAGCUGUCAGAACUGCCACUGAACCCAAAAUGGCGGGGCUCCAGCUGACCCAGCCCCACAUCCAGAGGCAGUUGUGGGCAGGGCUGGGCUCGGAACUUGGCUCUGAUUUCUGGGCUGAAAGACUGUUUUGUGCUUUGGCCAAGGCAGAGGCCCUAUGGGGAUGGCCUGUUUGCGACAGGUGGUGUAGAAGCCCACCUGAGCCCGCUGUUGGGUCACCUGUGCCCAGUGCCUUUAUCCUCUUCCUGUGGGCUUGCGGCCCAUCCCUCGCCUCGUCCCUGCAGCCCAGACCUUCUGGAAGGGGCUCUGUGAGCCACCGGCACCCCCACUCCUCGCCUGCAGGUCACCAGCUAGCCACAGCUCGUCUCUCCACGGUGGCUUUCUGGGGUGAAUUUGCUCUCGCAUUGCUGUUGGAGGUUCGGAGCUGCUGAGACCAGGCCAGCUGAGAGCACGCCCUCGGGUCUGACCGCCACCAUCUCCCUCUGUUGCCUGCAUGAGCAGAUUAAAAUGCUUUUCCAGGAAG